rnacentral:rRNA from 1 species
UACGAAGGGGGCUAGCGUUGUUCGGAAUUACUGGGCGUAAAGCGUGCGCAGGCGGCCAUCUAAGUCAGGGGUGAAAGCCUGGGGCUCAACCCCAGAACUGUCCUUGAGACUGGAUGGCUGGAGUGCGGGAGAGGUGAGUGGAAUUCCCAGUGUAGAGGUGAAAUUCGUAGAUAUUGGGAAGAACACCCGUGGCGAAGGCGGCUCACUGGCCCGUAACUGACGCUCGGGCACGAUAGCGUGGGGAGCAAACAGG